GACGAACGCUGGCGGCGUGCUUAACACAUGCAAGUCGAACGGAAAGGCCCUGCUUUUGUGGGGUGCUCGAGUGGCGAACGGGUGAGUAACACGUGAGUAACCUGCCCUUGACUUUGGGAUAACUUCAGGAAACUGGGGCUAAUACCGGAUAGGAGCUCCUGCUGCAUGGUGGGGGUUGGAAAGUUUCGGCGGCUGGGGAUGGGCUCGCGGCUUAUCAGCUUGUUGGUGGGGUAGUGGCUUACCAAGGCUUUGACGGGUAGCCGGCCUGAGAGGGUGACCGGCCACAUUGGGACUGAGAUACGGCCCAGACUCCUACGGGAGGCAGCAGUGGGGAAUAUUGCACAAUGGGCGGAAGCCUGAUGCAGCAACGCCGCGUGCGGGAUGACGGCCUUCGGGUUGUAAACCGCUUUCGCCUGUGACGAAGCGUGAGUGACGGUAAUGGGUAAAGAAGCACCGGCUAACUACGUG
rnacentral:rRNA from 1 species